rnacentral:rRNA from 1 species
CGGGUGAGUAAUGCUUGGGAACUUGCCUUUGCGAGGGGGAUAACAGUUGGAAACGACUGCUAAUACCGCAUAAUGUCUUCGGACCAAACGGGGCUUCGGCUCCGGCGCAAAGAGAGGCCCAAGUGAGAUUAGCUAGUUGGUAAGGUAACGGCUUACCAAGGCGACGAUCUCUAGCUGUUCUGAGAGGAAGAUCAGCCACACUGGGACUGAGACACGGCCCAGACUCCUACGGGAGGCAGCAGUGGGGAAUAUUGCACAAUGGGGGAAACCCUGAUGCAGCCAUGCCGCGUGUGUGAAGAAGGCCUUCGGGUUGUAAAGCACUUUCAGUUGUGAGGAAAAGUUAGUAGUUAAUACCUGCUAGCCGUGACGUUAACAACAGAAGAAGCACCGGCUAACUCCGUGCCAGCAGCCGCGGUAAUACGGAGGGUGCGAGCGUUAAUCGGAAUUACUGGGCGUAAAGCGCACGCAGGCGGUUUGUUAAGCUAGAUGUGAAAGCCCCGGGCUCAACCUGGGAUGGUCAUUUAGAACUGGCAGACUAGAGUCUUGGAGAGGGGAGUGGAAUUCCAGGUGUAGCGGUGAAAUGCGUAGAUAUCUGGAGGAACAUCAGUGGCGAAGGCGACUCCCUGGCCAAAGACUGACGCUCAUGUGCGAAAGUGUGGGUAGCGAACAGGAUUAGAUACCCUGGUAGUCCACACCGUAAACGCUGUCUACUAGCUGUGUGUGCUUUAA